rnacentral:rRNA from 1 species
UGGCGGCAGGCCUAACACAUGCAAGUCGAACGGUAACAGGAAGCAGCUUGCUGCUUUGCUGACGAGUGGCGGACGGGUGAGUAAUGUCUGGGAAACUGCCUGAUGGAGGGGGAUAACUACUGGAAACGGUAGCUAAUACCGCAUAACGUCGCAAGACCAAAGAGGGGGACCUUCGGGCCUCUUGCCAUCGGAUGUGCCCAGAUGGGAUUAGCUAGUAGGUGGGGUAACGGCUCACCUAGGCGACGAUCCCUAGCUGGUCUGAGAGGAUGACCAGCCACACUGGAACUGAGACACGGUCCAGACUCCUACGGGAGGCAGCAGUGGGGAAUAUUGCACAAUGGGCGCAAGCCUGAUGCAGCCAUGCCGCGUGUAUGAAGAAGGCCUUCGGGUUGUAAAGUACUUUCAGCGGGGAGGAAGGGAGUAAAGUUAAUACCUUUGCUCAUUGACGUUACCCGCAGAAGAAGCACCGGCUAACUCCGUGCCAGCAGCCGCGGUAAUACGGAGGGUGCAAGCGUUAAUCGGAAUUACUGGGCGUAAAGCGCACGCAGGCGGUUUGUUAAGUCAGAUGUGAAAUCCCCGGGCUCAACCUGGGAACUGCAUCUGAUACUGGCAAGCUUGAGUCUCGUAGAGGGGGGUAGAAUUCCAGGUGUAGCGGUGAAAUGCGUAGAGAUCUGGAGGAAUACCGGUGGCGAAGGCGGCCCCCUGGACGAAGACUGACGCUCAGGUGCGAAAGCGUGGGGAGCAAACAGGAUUAGAUACCCUGGUAGUCCACGCCGUAAACGAUGUCGACUUGGAGGUUGUGCCCUUGAGGCGUGGCUUCCGGAGCUAACGCGUUAAGUCGACCGCCUGGGGAGUACGGCCGCAAGGUUAAAACUCAAAUGAAUUGACGGGGGCCCGCACAAGCGGUGGAGCAUGUGGUUUAAUUCGAUGCAACGCGAAGAACCUUACCUGGUCUUGACAUCCACAGAACUUUCCAGAGAUGGAUUGGUGCCUUCGGGAACUGUGAGACAGGUGCUGCAUGGCUGUCGUCAGCUCGUGUUGUGAAAUGUUGGGUUAAGUCCCGCAACGAGCGCAACCCUUAUCCUUUGUUGGCAGCGGGUCGGCCGGGAACUCAAAGGAAACUGCCCGUGAUAAACUGGAGGAAGGUGGGGAUGACGUCAAAUCAUCAUGGCCCUUACGACCAGGG